rnacentral:snRNA from 1 species
AGCUUUGCAGAAUGGCAGUAUUGUAGCCGAUGAGGUUUAUCUGAAGCGCGAUUAUUGCUAAUUGAAAACUUUUCCCAAUACCCCACCAUGACGACUUAAAUAUAGUUGGCAUAUAAAAGGAGAAGAAGACGAUGACCCAGGCAGUAUUUGCAUGAAUGACCUUUAUU